GUACUCCCCAGGCGGGGUACUUAUUGCGUUAACUCCGGCACAGAAGGGGUCGAUACCUCCUACACCUAGUACCCAUCGUUUACGGCCAGGAUUACCGGGGUAUCUAAUCCCGUUCACUCCCCUGGCUUUCGCGCCUCAGCGUCAGACACAGUCCAGAAAGUCGCCUUCGCCACUGGUGUUCCUCCUAAUAUCUACGCAUUUCACCGCUACACUAGGAAUUCCACUUUCCUCUCCUGCACUCAAGAAAUGUAGUUUCCAUCCCAUCACGGGGUUGAGCCCCGAACUUUUAAGACAGACUUACAUUCCCGCCUGCGCGCGCUUUACGCCCAAUAAUUCCGGACAACGCUUGCCACCUACGUAUUACCGCGGCUGCUGGCACGUAGUUAGCCGUGGCUUCCUCCUCAGGUACCGUCAUUACUUAACAUUAUUCACAUUAAGCACAUUCGUCCCUGAAGACAGAGCUUUACGAUCCGAAAACCUUCUUCACUCACGCGGCGUUGCUCCGUCAGACUUUCGUCCAU
rnacentral:rRNA from 1 species